CGCGGUAUCCUAACCGUGCAGAGGUAGCGUAAUCACCUGUUUCUUAAUUAGAGACCUGUAUGAAUGGCACCACGAGAGUCAAACUGUCUCCUCUUUCUGGUCAGUGAAACUAAUCUUCCUGUGAAAAAGCAGGAAUUCCUUAACAAGACGAGAAGACCCUUUGGAGCUUAAGACAAAUAAAAUUAUAUAGGCCCCCCCCCCCACCACCCAUACACCAAGCAACACCAAAUUUUAAUAGUCUUCAGUUGGGGCAACUACGGAGUAAAGACAACCCUCCAAGAUGCAACGGAACCUUCCUAAACAAAAAGCCACAGCUUUAUGUAUCAACAUACUGACAUUAUUAGACCCAAUAUUUUGAUUAACGAAACAAGUUACCCUAGGGAUAACAGCGCAAUCCACCCCAAAAGCCCAAUUGGACAAGGGGCCUUACGACCUCAAUGUUGAAUCAGGGUUCCCCAGGGGGGCACCCG
rnacentral:rRNA from 1 species